rnacentral:rRNA from 1 species
UACGAAGGGGGCUAGCGUUGCUCGGAAUCACUGGGCGUAAAGCGCACGUAGGCGGCUUCUCAAGUCAGGGGUGAAAUCCUGGAGCUCAACUCCAGAACUGCCUUUGAUACUGAGGGGCUCGAGUCCGGGAGAGGUGAGUGGAACUGCGAGUGUAGAGGUGAAAUUCGUAGAUAUUCGCAAGAACACCAGUGGCGAAGGCGGCUCACUGGCCCAUAACUGACGCUGAGGCACGAAAGCGUGGGGAGCAAACAGGG